UCUUCUGGCUACUUGCACUUGUAAAAAAUCAAGAGACCAAGCCCGAUCCCGUCUGAUCUCAGAAGCCAAGCAGGGUCGGGCCUAGUUAGUACUUAGAUGGGAGACCACCUAAGAAGACCAGGUGCUGCUGUAG
rnacentral:rRNA from 1 species